AUUGAACGCUGGCGGCAGGCCUAACACAUGCAAGUCGCACGAGUGGCGGACGGGUGAGUAAUGUCUGGGAAACUGCCUGAUGGAGGGGGAUAACUACUGGAAACGGUAGCUAAUACCGCAUACCAUCGGAUGUGCCCAGAUGGGAUUAGCUAGUAGGUGGGGUAAUGGCUCACCUAGGCGACGAUCCCUAGCUGGUCUGAGAGGAUGACAAGCCAAACUGGAACGGAGACACGGUCCAGACUCCUACGGUAGGCAGCAGUGGGGAAUAUUGCACAAUGGGCGCAAUCCUGAUGCAGCCAGGCAGGGUGUAUGAAGAAGGCCUUCGGGUUGUAAAGUACUUGCAGCGAGGAGGCGUUACUCGCAGAAGAAGCACCGGCUAACUCCGUGCCAGCCGCCGCGGUAAUUC
rnacentral:rRNA from 1 species